CGUAGCCACGGGAAUACAGAGGGUGCGAGCGUUAAUCGGAUUUACUGGGCGUAAAGCGUGCGUAGGCGGCUUCUUAAGUCGGAUGUGAAAUCCCUGAGCUUAACUUAGGAAUUGCAUUCGAUACUGGGAAGCUAGAGUAUGGGAGAGGAUGGUAGAAUUCCAGGUGUAGCGGUGAAAUGCGUAGAGAUCUGGAGGAAUACCGAUGGCGAAGGCAGCCAUCUGGCCUAAUACUGACGCUGAGGUACGAAAGCAUGGGGAGCAAACAGGAUUAGAUACCCCCGUAGUCCCUGUCUCUUAUACA
rnacentral:rRNA from 1 species